rnacentral:rRNA from 1 species
GACGAACGCUGGCGGCGUGCUUAACACAUGCAAGUCGAACGGAAAGGCCUAGCUUGCUGGGUACUCGAGUGGCGAACGGGUGAGUAACACGUGGGUGAUCUGCCCCUGACUUUGGGAUAAGCCUGGGAAACUGGGUCUAAUACCGGAUAUUCAUUUUUCCUCGCAUGGGGAUUUGUGGAAAGCUUUUGCGGUUGGGGAUGGGCCCGCGGCCUAUCAGCUUGUUGGUGGGGUAAUGGCAUACCAAGGCGACGACGGGUAGCCGACCUGAGAGGGUGAUCGGCCACACUGGGACUGAGACACGGCCCAGACUCCUACGGGAGGCAGCAGUGGGGAAUAUUGCACAAUGGGCGCAAGCCUGAUGCAGCGACGCCGCGUGAGGGAUGACGGCCUUCGGGUUGUAAACCUCUUUCAGCUCCGACGAAGCGCAAGUGACGGUAGGAGCAGAAGAAGCACCGGCCAACUACGUG